CACGUAGGGGACGAGCGUUGUCCGGAUUCAUUGGGCGUAAAGCGCGCGUAGGCGGCUCGGAAAGUCGGUCGUGAAAUGCCGGGGCUCAACCCCGGGACUGCGUCCGAUACUCCCGAGCUGGAGGCAGGUAGGGGAGAUCGGAAUUCCUGGUGUAGCGGUGAAAUGCGCAGAGAUCGGGAGGAAGGCCGGUGGCGAAGGCGGCGCUCUGGAACAUUUCUGACGCUGAGGCUCGAAAGCGUGGGGAGCAAACGGG
rnacentral:rRNA from 1 species